AUGACUCUUAAUUACAAAUUUGAAACAUGACCGCAAUCCAUCAUAUGUCCUCAUAUUUGUUUCUUGUAAGUUAAAUCUUUUGAAUGCGAUAUCUCUAGCCUAUUUUUGAUAAAUUGAUCCCUUAAAGCAUACUUUUUCCAAGGGGCUUCUUUGAAAAUUGAUGGAUAGUUCAUCAGUAACAAGUUGAAAGAGGUGGAAUUUUCAUAACCAUCAGGGCAAGAGACGAGAUAAGGAAUUUCGGGGGAGGGGGGGUGUUUGAAACAUCUCCAUUUAGGGAGAUUGAGUAAUUGGAGGUUAGGGAGAAAGGAGAACUGUUGAGAGAGGCCAUUGAGUUUAGAUUCUAGGAUUAAAGGAUUGGGAUAAUUGUCUAAUGAACACAGCCUAUAUUUGGAAAAGAGUAUUGGGUGGGUGAAACUAUAUGGGGCAAAAUAGAGAAUGCAUUUAACACUAGAGAGUUGAGAAAGUGUCAACUGGUUGUGGGCAUUGCUUUGAAUCAAGACAAUGUGGUUAUUUGAAUUUUUUUUUCAACAUGAGGAAGUAAUCCUUGUGAUGUAAGACAUCAAAGAGCUUGAUAGAUAGACUUUAUAGUGAAAAAAUGAAAGGGAGUAUAUUAGAUGAGAGUGCUUGAAAAUGAGAAUUGAAUGAGAUUUCUCCAUUACUUCAUUUAAGUUGCUUCAUGCUAGUGCUAUAUGGUCUAAAUUCACCAUGGCUUAGUAAAACCAAUUCAUGCUGUAGACUGAUGCAAUAUUCACUUUGGUAAACAAUCCAGAUGUUUGUUUUGUGUUGUUUGUUUUGCUAAUAUAUUUUCACAUGUUCUUUAGGGUUCCUUACAUGCAGUAAUCAUUUCCUAGUUUCUAUAUACUUUGACUAGAAAUAAAUUAGUUACUGAGUUUUAAAGAGUCACUCUCUGAGUACAAAAGAACAUUUUUUGCUAUCCUGAGUCCGAUCAUGCCAACUAAUUUGUUCAAGUGACAUUGAACCACUUCUGUGAUAAAAAGGACAUCAUAUGCAAAAAAAUUGGUUGACGGUGUGCCAUAGAACUUUACAAAAAUGCUCUUUAAACCUACAUCCUCUUUUAUGUAUGCAAUUGAAUAUUAGAAUUUCAGUGUGAGCAUUGUCAAUGUUAGGGAAAUUCAAAAAUGCAUUAAAGAAAUAAUAUUCAUAGCUACAAUGUGAAAUAUCAGGUUAUAAUGAGAAAAAUCUAUCGAUUAUCCUGUUUUUUAAAUUCUAAGUUAAACUUAGUUUAUCUUCACUCAAAAUCUCUCUUUUUUUCAUUUUUGAAUGAAAUCAGCAAAAGUUGAAGAGAGCCAACCACCAUAAUUAUGGUUUGCAUCAUUUUACCUUUGCUCUUACAUUCUUAAAAAUGGUUAGCUAAGAAGUAAGAAUGGUGCAGCAUUUUUAUCCGUUAACAUGAAAAGAAAAUGAAUUUGGUUAUGUCAUUACCCAGCAUCUGCUUUGUUUUUUAUUUUAAUCAAGAAUCUUGUUGGAAGGAAGAAUUAUAUUUAUAGCAAUGUAGACUCUUGUUUGAAAAUAAAAUCGGCGUUAUUGUAUCGGGAAUUGCUGAAUUAGUGACCUUAGUAUUUAAGAGGCUUGUAGUCUUGCACUGAUUUCAAGCAAACUGGAUAUUUUUGCCCUUCAAAUUUAUUCUUUCUCCAAUAACAUAAUUAUAUAUCCAAAAGAAAAACAAUUUGUUGAUCAUAUGUCACUGACGUCCAAGCUCCUACUAGCAUACAAGGAAGCCUUCCAAUACAUUGCAGCUGAAGAUGACUAAGAUGUAUAUCAGCCACAACUAUCAAAUUUUUAUUACCAAGAUAGUCUUUUCAUAAUCAACUCCCAUGAUAUUCUAAUUGUAACGACUGUUCAUAAAUUUAUGAUUUUUUAAUGAAAUUUAUUUGCUGUAGAUCGAUUUCUUACAAACAGUUUUUUAAAACCCUCAGUCAAAAUAAAUCAAAAUAAAAUAUGAAAAUAUGGAACUUCCUAAAAGGUUUUGUUUUUUGGGGGGGGGGGGGGAUUAUAUACAUGGGUUGUUCAUUUCCAUCCACUCUUUUUGCAUCUACUUACUCUGUUCUACUUAAAUGCAAUCCUACCUGAGACCUAAGACUCAAUCUCCAUAGUUUAUGUUUUACAUAAGAUCCAGUGGACUUCUAGAUUUCUUAGAUCAAUCUAAUCUAAUAAUCCUACCUAUCCAUCUUAAGUUGGCUUUUAUUUGGGGAGCUUGUGCCUUGCUUGAGGUGUUCGUCCUUGAAGUGUAGAUCCACAAGAAGAAAUAAUUAGAGAACCUAAAUAAAUAAGUCCGCACACAUGUGCACACGCACACACAUGCGCAUAGCCACACACAGAUACAAAAAAAAAAAGGAUGAAUUAGUGAUCAGAGAGAUAAGUUCCCUGAACUGCUAUUUGGAUAGCCCUUUUUACAGAAAGAAAACUAUAACCUUGACCUUGGCCAACAAAAAUUCUCCCAAUUAUAUGGGUUGCCUUUAUGGAUCAAGGCCUGAUCUACUGCUACUAAAAGUUUAUGACCAACUUUGAACUUGAUACUAAUUUCCUACGAGGAUUUGUACCAGUUUCCCUGCUAAGAGAA